UUUAUCCGAACACUAGAGGCCAACCAGUGUAUACACACGGCGGCAAAUUCAAAGUCUACGGGGAUUUAACAUUGUCAAAAUGGCCACCGCUUCGGAAGGGGAUCAUCCAUUGUUCGUAAUUUUCCGUACAUUGCCGUCAGUAAGGAAAUGACGUCACGCACGUUCGGGAGUGCUCUAUGGUUAUCGACGUCCGAAUUACCUAUAACGCCCGAGACUGCCAAGUAUAUAUUUGUACUGCAAAAAAUUACGUCUUCAACAAAACUUUCAUCUGUUCAUACCCAGACUGAGACCGAAGGGAUCAAAGAUUCAUUAAAGGGUUAUACACUGCAUAAAGCAAAGAGGAUACUGAAUAGCUACCUGGUGAAGACACAAGAUGGAAAAGCACUAACAUGGCUGUGUACAUUACAUAUAUUAACUUAAGCCAUAAGUACCCGCAGAUAUAUUUUACAAGAGGAAUAAAUGUUAAUAAAAGUCAAGCGCCCACUGAUGCUGAAGUG